rnacentral:rRNA from 1 species
GACGAACGCUGGCGGCGUGCUUAACACAUGCAAGUCGAGCGGUAAGGCCCUUUCGGGGGUACACGAGCGGCGAACGGGUGAGUAACACGUGGGUGACCUGCCCUCAGCUCUGGGAUAAGCCUGGGAAACCGGGUCUAAUACUGGAUAUGACUCCAUGACGCAUGUUGUGGGGUGGAAAGCCUUGUGCGGCUGAGGAUGGGCCCGCGGCCUAUCAGCUUGUUGGUGGGGUGAUGGCCUACCAAGGCGACGACGGGUAGCCGGCCUGAGAGGGCGACCGGCCACACUGGGACUGAGACACGGCCCAGACUCCUACGGGAGGCAGCAGUGGGGAAUCUUGCGCAAUGGGCGAAAGCCUGACGCAGCGACGCCGCGUGAGGGAUGACGGGCCU